UGGGGAAUAUUGGACAAUGGGCGCAAGCCUGAUCCAGCCAUGCCGCGUGUGUGAAGAAGGCCUUCGGGUUGUAAAGCACUUUCAGUAGGGAGGAAGCGUUGUGUGUUAAUAGUACACAGCGUUGACGUUACCUACAGAAGAAGCACCGGCUAACUCUGUGCCAGCAGCCGCGGUAAUACAGAGGGUGCAAGCGUUAAUCGGAAUUACUGGGCGUAAAGCGCACGUAGGCGGUUUUUUAAGUCAGAUGUGAAAGCCCCGGGCUCAACCUGGGAAUUGCAUUUGAAACUGGAAAACUAGAGUGUGUGAGAGGGGGGUAGAAUUCCAAGUGUAGCGGUGAAAUGCGUAGAGAUUUGGAGGAAUACCAGUGGCGAAGGCGGCCCCCUGGCACAACACUGACGCUCAGGUGCGAAAGCGUGGGGAGCAAACAGGAUUAGAUACCCUGGUAGUCCACGCCGUAAACGAUGUCUACUAGCUGUUCGUGACCUUGCGUCGUGAGUAGCGCAGCUAACGCAUUAAGUAGACCGCCUGGGGAGUACGGUCGCAAGAUUA
rnacentral:rRNA from 1 species